GACCGACGUGACCAGUUUUGCGCAGUGCGCGGGUUCCCGGGCGUCCGCCUUGGUCACACGGGCUCCGGCCCGGGGGGCACCGGCGUCACCCCCGCAGCUUGGUGGUCUCCUGCUCUCGUCCCUGGCUGCAGGGACACAGGUGGGCUGCAGGGACAGGUGUGCCCACGGAACUCCAGUGUCUCAGAAAGAAAAACUUUCAGUGCGGUGAGACGGCGGUAUAAUAUUCUGACCAUGCUAUCUCAUUUUAAUCUGGCUUUCUAGUCUAACAGCUAUGUUUUUUGAGAAAAAGCAGCUUUUUCUUCAGUGGUCAAAACGGAGCUGUAAAACCAUAUGCCCCAAGGGGUCUUGACCAAAGACCAUCUGCACCCUCCAAAACACGCGUACUGACGAAGAGCGUCCCAAAGCUGAAACACUUGGCACGACUGGGAUUUCUAGCUAGGGCCUGAGCACAAUCCUUUCUUGUCCUAAAGGACUCCAUCUUAGGUUUCUAAGUGUGAGUUUCUGUCAUACAAUGCCGCUUUUUCUUGUACUCCGCUAGAGGAAGUGCUUGCGGUUAUUCAUGGCCGAUGGUAAAUAGAGGAUUCAAGACCAAGCAGGCGUUAGACAGAAGUUCAAAACAUGUGGCCUAAUUACUAUCCAGUUCUCCAGUAAAGCCCCCUUCACCCUCUCACGGGUGAUGAAGGAUCUGGCUCCAGGGUAAACUCUUUAAAAUUUGUAAAUAAAUAUUGAAUCCUCAGAUGAGGAUAAACAGAAACUACACGGCAGUAAGUUCAACUUAGCUGUUGGUAAUAGGAAAGCUGAGGCCCAGACUGACACAGGCAUCAAGCCUUCACAAACCCGCUCUCUGGGAAAACCAUUGACACUGAGUCCAUCCAACUUAUAGUGAUUCUGUAGGACAGAGUUUAUAGGACAGAGUAGAAAUGCCUCAUAGGUGUUUCAAGGAACAGUUCGUGGAUUUUAACUACCAACCUUUUGUUAACAGUUGAGCUCUUAGCCACUUUGCUACUCAGGCUCACACUUUUCUGGGCAGACUUAUGUUAACCAUAAAUUUGUUCAAAAUUCUACUUUGUAUAAGUUUAACUUCACCAAAGGGUAAGUUAGUCUUGCCCUUGUCUCCUGAGAAGGCAAAUUCUAAACCUUUGGAAUUUCCUGAGCAGCUGAGGUGCUUUGGAAACCCUGGUGGUGUAGUGGUUAAGUGCUACAGGUGCACACCAAAAGGUCGGCAGUUCAGAUCCACGAGGCGCUCCUUGGAAACUCUAUGGAGCAGUUCUAGUCUGUCCUGUGGGGUCGCUAUGAGUUAGAAUUGACUCCAUGGCAAUGGGUUUUGUUUCUUUUGGUUUUGAGGUGCUUUUGUUAUUUUAAAAGCUAAGGGGUACAUCUGAGAAUGUAUGCAAGUGAAUAAGUUCCCUCCCUCCCACUUCCCCACCACCUCAUCCCACCACUCCCACUCUGCCAGGCCAGAGGCCACCUAGAUCUCGGAAAGGGUGCAUGGGUCAGUCAAUCACAUAAAAUAAAGUGAAUGAUUAAUUUUCUACUCUGUUUCUUCUUUCUUGAAAACUUCAUUGUUACUAUCUUUUUUUGCAGUGAGACUUUUGUUUUUGUAGAAACAAAAUGGUCUCCCAGUAUGCGUAUAGAUUAACUGCUUAAAUCAAUCCUGUAUACUUUAUUUUCUUUGUGCUUUGAUUAUUUUUUAACAUAACAGUGAGCUUUCCGGAACCUGACUUUAACUUUAUUCCUAGGGGAUUUGACUUCUGGAUAUAUGUUUGUAAUUGUGUUGUUGUAGAAUAACCAUCCAUAACUCUGAUUAAUGUAAAAUUGAGAGAUUUAUUGAAAGUAAAAAGAUAGCUUGAACUAGAAAAGAACUAGAGAUAGACUGAAUUCCAUGUGAUGGAACCCAAUAAUCCAGUGUGGUGACUCAGCAGUGACAUUUUAUGAAGGGGAAACAAAGAACAUGAAGUACAGUAUUUGGUAUUUGCAGACUUAGAUCAUUGAAAGACAUUACUUGAUUGCACGGAAGCCCUGGUGGUGUAGCGGUUAAAAGCUACGGCUGCUAACCAGAAGGUCAACAAUUUGAAUCCACCAGGUGCUCCUUGGAAACUCUGUUGGGCAGUUCUACUCUGUUCUACGGGGUCACUAUGAGUCAUAAUCGGCUUGACGGCACUGGGUUUGGUUUUUAAUUACAGGCUUAGAUCAUUGGAGGACAUUACACACUUGGUAGUAGAUCACUUUAAGGUGGGUCUUCCUGUGGUGGGAACUCAUAAGGCAGGUCUUCCUGUGGGGGGAAAUCCUAGGACAGGACUUCCUGUAGCAGUCCUUCAUAAGGUGAUUGGCUUAAAAGGAUAUAUGUGUCUUUCUUAGAUUGGUUAUAAUGUGUUAAUCAGAAGGGUAUGUGUGGUGGGGGGAUGGCAGGGUACUUAUGUCAUCAUUACCAGACAGUCCUCUCUCAGGGGAGGUGCAGUGUAGUCACAUCAUCGUUGCCAGACACUGCUUAGUCUCAUGAUUAUGUAUGCACAGAAAAUGGCUGUUGCUAGGAUGGAAACGGAACUAGCCACAGAGGAGUCUCACUCAGUCCUCAAGUUGGCCACCUCAGAUCUUCUCAGGUGCCGUCAAGUCCGUUUCAACUCAUAGAGACUCCAUGUGACAAGAGUAGAACUGCCUUAUUGGGUUUUUUUGGCUGUCAUCAUGGAAGCAGAUCACAAGGUCUUGCUCCCACCACUGAUUACCAUCGGGCAUACAGUGGAUUUAUGAAUAUCUGGAAGAAAAAUCAGGUGUUACCAAACCAAGUCACUAAAGGGACCCCUAAGUCACUAAAUUCUGCAAUAUAUUGGUGGGCACAAAUAUGGAUCUCUUCCAGUCAGUUGGCCAAAUAGCUGUCUUCCAAAUUUCUUGGCAAAGACAAGUCAGUACCUCCAGCGCUGCAUCCAUUUGUUGAAACAUCUCAGUUGGUAUUCCGUCAAUUCCUGGAGCCUCGUUUUCACCAAUGCCUUCAGUGCAGCUUGGACUGCUUCCUUCAAUACCAUUGAUUCUCGAUCGUAUGCUGCCUCCUGAAAUGGUUGAACAUCGACCAAUUCUUUUUGGUACAGUGUCUCUGCAUCCCUUCCAUCUUCUUUUGAUGCUCCUUGAAUCAUUUAAUAUUUUGCCCAUAGAAUACUUCAAAAUAGCAACUCAAAGCUUGAAUUUUUUCUUUAGUUCUUUCAGCUUGAGAAAUAACUGAGUGUAUUCUUCCCUUUUGGUUUUCUAACUCCAGGUCUCUGUACCUGUCAUUAUAAUACUUUACUAUGUUUUCUCAAGCUGUCUUUUGAAACCUUCUGUUCAGCUCUUUUAUUUCAUCAUUUCUUCAAUUUGCUUUGGCUACUCAACGUUCAAGAGCAAGUUUCAGAGUCUCUUCUGACAUCAGUUUUGGUCUUUUCUUUCUUUCCCAUCUUUUUAAUGACCUUUUGCUUUUUUUUUAUGUAUGAUGUUCUUGAUGUCGAAGAAUGUUGAAUAUACCAUGGACUGCCAAAGAAUGAACAAGUCUGUCUUGGAAGAAGUACAGCCAGAAUGCUCCUUAAAAGCAAGGAUGGUAAGACUUCCUCCUGCAUACUUUGGACACGUUAUCAGAAAGGACCAGUCCCUGGAGAAGGACAUCAUGCUUGGUAAGGUAGAGGGUCAUCGAAAAAGAGGAAGACCCUCAAUGAGAUGGAUUGACACAGUGGCUGCAACAAUGGGCUCAAACAUAGCAACCAUUGUGAGGAUGGUGCAGGACCAGGCAGUGUUUCAUUCUGUUGUACAUAGGGUCGCUAUGAGUCAGAACCAACUCGAUGGCCCCUAAUAACAUAAUAUAAUAAGACACGUGAAGUUAGUUAUGUUAUUACGUUUAAAUUAAUUACAAUGAAAUAAAAUUAAGAAUUCAGUUCCUAAACUGCUUUAGUCACAUCUCAACUGCUCAACAGUAAUGUGUAGUUAGUAAAUCCAACAUAAGCAGUGCAGAAAUCUGACAUUUUCCUUUUCAUCACUAGAGAAGUUCCUGUUGCACAAUGCUGGUAGGUGAAGUCUUCUGUUCUCAUGAUACCAUUUCAAACUGUUCCAUCCAUUUCCAAACACACUGUUCUUUAUUCCGUAACAUACAAAUUGGGUAAUCCUUUAUACUUAUCAUAUUAAUUGAAUAUUGUGAGCAUGUUCAUAUUUAUUCCUUUAUUCCUUCCUUUAACUUAUAGUUGUUUCUUGUCGACUGUGUCUCAGGCACUGAAUUAGUUUUUCUCUUUGUAUUAGUGAAUAAAAGGUUUUAGAUAUGCUUAUAGUCUAAUAAGGAGGGGUAAAGGGUUUAACAAAAAGAUAUGCAAAUGAUAUUAUGCUUCUAAUUGGAAUAGGGAGUGUGUGUAUGGAAUUUAAAUUUUGAGGUGUUGGUACAUCUCAAGGGAGGUUGCAGAACUAAAAUUAGGCACACCGUUCUGAGGUUAACUGAAAAUUUCUCUUCUGCUCUCCUGAUAAACAUUUGGCUUCUGUUAAGGUUUUACUAUCUGGGGGGAAAAAACCGCUCAGUGCCUAAUAUGUUAACGAUGUUUCCACAGAGAAGGCUCUCGUUAAGAUGUUAAAUAAGUUAGAGCAUAGAUAAACUUGUUCUUUUAACUACCUCCAAGGAAUUUCCCAAACAAGCACCUGGGGUUUACCUCCUUUUCCCUUAGCUGAAUAAGGCAAAUGUAUACUUGAAAAGACAUAGACUUAAAACUGAUCUAAUCUUAUUCUUUCCUAACUAAUGGUUGGUUUUGUAUCCAAAGACUACAAUUAAGUGGACCCAGGCUGCAAUUCAUCACUAUACCUUCAUAUGUCAAAAUGUUUAAAACAUUUCAUUUUAGAAAUCUUGCCUUAGUUAAAUUGUAUUAAGAAUGAGAGAUUUGAAUUAGGCUAGAAAUUGAUGUUAAGAAAGUUGUAGCUAAUUGCCAUUUGUAAAUUCCUUGGUUUUCCUCUGAAUCUGUUUGAUGUACUCUAGUUACACUGCCUGCUGAAAUACCUCUUUCUUCUGCCUGCAAAGCAGAACAUACUUUGGCAAUUGACUUGAAUACCUCGUAUUUCUCCCAUAGAAUUAUUCCUUCAAUAAAAUUCGAUGGGAAACACCUAUGCUCGUCCAAAGACUUCACCAAAAGAGUAAAAAGAUUACCUACAGACGGGGAAAAAGUUUUUAGCUAUGACAUUUCCAAUCAGCGCCUGAUCUAUCUACACGAAACUGUAAAAACUCAACUACAAAAAGACAAAUAACGCAAUUAAAAAUGGGCAAAAGAUAUGAACAGACACUUCACUAAAGAAGACAUUCAGGUAGCUAACAGAUACAUGAGGAAAUGCUCACGAUUAUUAGCCAUUAGAGAAAUGCAAAUCAAAACUACAAUGAGCUUCUAUCUCACUCCAACAAUGCUGGCACUAAUCCAAAAACACAAAAUAAUAAAUAUUGGACAGGCUGUGGCGAGAUUGGAACAUUCAUACACUGCUGGCAGGAAUGUAAAAUGGUACAACCGCUUAGAAAAUUGAUUUAACACUUCCUUAAAAAGCUAGAAAUAGAACUACCAUACCAAAAACCAAAACCAGUGCUGUUGAGUCGAUUCUGACUCAUAGCGACCCUAUAGGACAGAGUGGAACUGCCCCAUAGAGUUUCCACGGAGCACCUGCCAGAUUCCAACUCCUGACCCUUUGGUUAGCAGCCAUAGCACUUAACCACUGUGCCACCAGGGUUUCCAGAACUACCAUAAGAUCCAGCAGUCCCACUCCUUGGAAUAUAUCCUAGAGAAAUAAGAGCCUUUACAUGAACAGAUAAUGUGCACCCAUGUUCAUUGCAGCACUGUUUACAAUAGCAAAAAGAUGAAUAGAUAAAUAAAAAUAGAUGAACAGAUAAAUAAAUUAUGGUAUAUUCACACGAUGGAAUACUACGCAUCGGUAAAGAACAGUGAGGAAUCUGUGAAACAUUUCAUAACAUGGAGGAACCUGGAAGGCAUUAUGCUGAGUGAAAUCAGCCAGUUGCAAAAGGACAAAUAUUGCAUAAGACCACUAUUAUAAGAACUUGAGAAAUAGUUUAAACUGAGAAGAAAACAUUCUUUUGUGGUUACAAGAAGGGGGAGAGGGGUGGGAGAGGGGCAUUCACUAAUUAGAUAGUAGAUAAGAACUACUUUAGUUGAAGGGAAAGACAACACAAUACAGGGGAGGUCAGCACAAUUGGACUAAACCAAAAGCAAAGAAGUUUCCUGAAUAAACUGAAUGCUUGGAAGGCCAGCGUAGCAGGGGCAGGGGUCUGGGGGCCAUGGUUUCAGGGGACAUCUAAGUCAAUUGGCAUAAUAAAGUCUAUUAAGAAAACAUUCUGCAUCCCACUUUGAAGUGUGGCGUCUGGAGUCUUAAACGCUAGGAAGCAGCCAUCUAAGAUGCAUCCAUUGGUCUCAACCCACCUGGAGCAAAGGAGAAUGAAGAACACCAAGGACACAAGGUAAAUUACGAGCCCAAGAGACAGAAAGGGCCACAUGAACCAGAGACUACAUAUCCUGAGACCAGAAGAAUGAGAUGGUGCCUGGCUACAACUGAUGACUGCCGUAACAGGGAACACAACAGAGAACCCCUGAGGGAGCAGGAGAGCAGUGGGAUGCAGACCCAAAAUUCUCAUAAGACCAGACUUAAUGGCCUGGCUGAGACUAGAAGGACCCCGGUGGUCAUGGCCCCCAGACCUUCUGUUGGCCCAGGACAGGAACCAUUCCCAAAGCCAACUCUUCAGACAUGGAUUGGACUGGGCAAUGGGCUGGAGGGGGAUGCUGGUGAGGAGUGAGCUUCUUGGAUCAGGUGGACACUUGAGACUAUGUUGGCAUCUCCUGCCUGGAGGGGAGAUGAGAGGGUAGAUGGGGUUAGAAGCUGGUGAAAUGUACACGAAAAGAGAGUGGAGGGAGGGAGUGUGCUGUCUCAUUAGGGGGAGAGCAAUUGGGAUAUAUAAGUUUCUGUGUGAGAGACUGACCUGAUUUGUAAACUUUCACUUAAAGCACAAUAAAAAUUAAAAAAAAAAAAAAAUUCAAUUGGAAUGUUGGUCCAGUAACUCUACUCGGACAUGUAUUGUUGACCGUGAAGGCACCUGAAGGAUUUUACCUAUGCAGCAUCUGGGGCAGCGAGAAAAUCAGAGCUUCUGGAACCAGCAAGACCUCUCGGGCCUGUCUGGUUUUUGAGGGAUCCUGGGAGUUGUGGCAGAUAAACACCUCUUGGGUCCAAGCCCCUACUUACUUUGUGUAGAGGUUCCCCAACUUUUGUUGAAGGAUUUGUCUUUCUGUCUUCUGUCUUUUGAAUGGAGCACAAGUUUCUUUGUUUUGCAUACCAUAUGGUCAUUGCUUAAGGACCUCAGUACCACAAAAAGCUACAUUUUUCAACUCUUUGGCAGUCUGUUGCUAAAGAAAUUAGUUGGUUCUGAGAAGCUGAGACCUCUGAGCUUUUGUUUGAAAAGUUCCGAAGCUAACCUGUACUGCCUCUGGAAAUUCGAGAAAUGCUAAGUCUAAGAGCAAGGCUGAGUUUCCUCUGAAAACUCCUGCUCAUUAUGUGAACAAGCAUUUUGGUUCUUCCUCUUAUUUUUGCCUGUUUGGCAUGAUUUGAUGAAAGGCAGUUUGCAUGAAUGGUCUAUCCAAUGGGACAUUUUUUAUGAUUGGUGAUUUGAAGCUUCUAAACUGACUGAACAUAAUAAAGAAUUGCAGAAUUCAGUUUCUGAAUUAACUAAUAAUAAAGAAUUUAAAAGCCAGAGCUCUGCUGUAUUUACACCCUUCACUGCAGCUUCCUCUGCUACCCUUCCCCCACCACUACCGGCAGCCUCUUCUCUAUAUCCUCUUCUCCCUCUUAAUCCUUCUGAAAAUUCUCUGCCUGCACUUGCUUUCUUUUCAAGAAAAUCUACUAAAGGAGAUCCUAUUUAUGAAACUUCUAAACCAGAGAAUGCAGCACCAAAAAGCCCAAAGCUAGUUAGACCAAAGUCAGAAAGUACAGAGCCUAUUACUGAAAUGCCUUUUAAAUUUACCCUGCAGAAUGUGGAGUAGGCACUAGAGAAAGUCCAAAGAGUCCUGUUAUUUUUUUCCCUGGACCUGUACGGAACUACAUAAUAUCAGCAAAGAUUUCCCAAAUUUAUGUGAGGAGCCUCAUAAAUUUGCUAAAGAAUUCAAGGUCCUUAUUCAUGCUUACCAGAUUGGAUUAGCUGGUCUGUAUCAAUUCAUACGUUAGUUGACCCUGGUAAAGCAAAAUUAUAGUUAGAAUGUGCUGAAUGGAAAGAUCCCCCAAAUGAUUUAGCUUUAGAUACAGGCAAAACAGCCAAUGUCCUCAAAGCAGCUAAACACAAAGCCAAAGAGUUGCAUGAUGCAAUCCUUGAGGCCUUUCUCUCAAAAAUCAACUGGACAAAAGUUCACUCUUGCAUACAACACAAAAAUGAAAAUGUUUAUGAUUACCAAUUCUCAUUAUUCCAAAAGUUUUUGGAAUAUUGUGGGUUGAAUCAUCAGAUGAGGAAAUGAAAGAGGCUUUUAAUGCAGUAUUUAUUUCUGGUCUCAAGCCUAAAAUUUCAGCAUUAGUUAAGAGGUAUUGUUUAGACUGGAAAUUAACUUCCAUUGAGGAAUUAACUAUCUUAGCUCAUUAGCUUGCCCAAAUUUUAGAAACAAAGUAGGGUGCUCAAACUAGCAAAUAAGUUAAUGAUCCUUCAGUUACAACAGUUACAUGGGCCUAUU